CUCAAAAUGGCCGAUUCGCAAGAGUUCUAUAAUAGAGCCGUGACAGCCGUCCACUUCAAAGACAAAUCCUUCUAAUGCUGGUCGCCAAAACCAAACCAGGAAAUGAAACGAACAUUUCGCGAAAAGGUAUGCAACGAAAAUGUACUUUAAUGAUGCUAUUGGUCGGUGAAAUCAUUUCAAAACUGAAGCUGGAAUAAAAAAGUGACGAGCGUUCGCGAAUACUCUGCUGAUCGAGCCUGAUACGAAACAUCAAGACGGAUUUAAUUGUGGUAAGCACAUAACACAUAUCCCUGGAUAUUUCAGUUAUGUUAAUGCUGUUAUAUUUCCUCAUUACAAAACUUUAUUGUGCACUUAUAUUAUAGCGCUGUGGAAACCAAGACAGAUCAGCAGCCAGAUGAAACAAUACAAUGCAGACAUGAGCCAUUGCCAGUAUAUGUUCAGCAAGGGGAAACAGCAACGGAGCCACAUAAAGAUUCUUAAAGAUUCUCCUAAACAGUACAAAUACAUCCUACAACUUAUAAUGAAGAUAUGUAUAACAUUUUAUGCUUUCCUGAAUCCUAGUGAGAAAAAAAGUGACUUUUAGUUUUCUUUUCAUUAUGAAAUUCCAUAUUCUUUAUAUCACCUUUUCAAACUUAAUUAUUUUGAUCAUUCUGUAGGCAUGUUAAGGGCACUGUAGCACCUGCUGAUUGAUGUGUUUUAAGAGCACUUAAAUGGCUUUUUGGAAAGCCAAAUUUUGAUUUGCAUGAACAUUAACAAAAUCAAAAUGUGACUUGAAAAAAGCCAUUUAAGUGUUUUUAAAACACUUUGGUCAGCAGGCACUAAUGUGCAUUUAAACAGGAAUAAAACUAAUUAUAAGUCUUCUUUAGGUAUGGGGAUUGGUAUUGCAACUGAUGACCGAAGGCAAAUUGCUCCUAACAUAACCCCUGUCCCUCCUCCUUCAGUCAAAGAACUUGUUGAAACCCAUCAGUCUAGAUUCAACUGAUCACUGUAGACAAGUGUCUGGUACUUAAAACAAAGUGCUCUGGUUAGCUCAUAAUCCCUGAAAGGCAGUUCACCUAGGAGAAAGAACUCUUACAACCCCCCGGACCCCAAUAGUGAGUCAGGCUGUCCAUACUGGAUUCAUUGAUCUUCGGUGCACUGCAAUACACUUUCUAGGACUGGAGUAAGGAGCAAGGAGUAAUUUUAAAGAAUAAAAAAAUCAAUGUCAAUACCAAAUGUUGUGCUUGAACAUCCAAUGCAUUUAUAACUUGUCUUUUAUAAAAUGAAAUAUUACUGUUCAUAAAAGAUUUAACCCAUUGACAUGAUAAAGUCUUUCAUUUGUUAGCAAAAUUUGCUGUGGUUAGUAGACAGAGAAAGCUUAGAAUAAGUUUGAAGCAAUUUUGAACUGCAAUUUUCUUCUUUUGGUGUAUGUGUUAGAGUGAAUAAUCAAGCCACGCAAAGUAAUGUUUCCUGUAAUUUUGCUAAAACACAUAUGCCAAAAGGAGAAAAUCAAAGUUUAAAAUCGCUUGUGUGAACGGGCCUUAACAGGUGUGAAUUACCCAUGUUCUGUCAAAAUAUUAAAAUGAUCCUCCCUGUCAUGGGGAGAUAAUUGCAGUAAAAUGGAUUAAUGAAUAAUAAAGUUUCCCUCAAUGAUCAAUAACAUAAUAAAAACAUGUGCAACAAAUAUUUACAAUCUAGCAGGUUGAUACCCAGUGUAUAUCCCAUUUGGAGAAGGAUAUUGUCUCCGUAUUGCUGUAACACAACAGCUUGGAAUCACUCUCCUGUUCCGACUUCCUAACCUUCGUUGUUGCCAGAGUACGUAUUGUCUGUGAGCAGCAUGGCAAAAUUUUCAUUGUUUCUAAUAUUAUUUAACACUAAAAAGUCU
rnacentral:lncRNA from 1 species